rnacentral:rRNA from 1 species
AGAGGGGCUGCUCCUAGUACGAGAGGACCGGAGUGGACGAACCUCUGGUGUUCCGGUUGUCACGCCAGUGGCAUUGCCGGGUAGCUAUGUUCGGAAGCGAUAACCGCUGAAAGCAUCUAAGCGGGAAGCGCGCCUCAAGAUGAGAUCUCCCGGGGCACAAGCCCCCUGAAGGAACCAUGUAGACUACGUGGUUGAUAGGUCAGGUGUGUAAGUACAGCAAUGUAUUGAGCUAACUGAUACUAAUGAUCCGAGAGGCUUGACCAUAUAACCUCA